UCAAUACCGGAUGAUAUACCGACGCGGAGUCGCGAUGGUAUCAAAGGCGGUGCAAGCUGUCGCAGGAGGAUGAGUUCGCGUUCCAUUAGCCAGUUGGCGGGGUAACGGCCCACCAAAGCUACGAUGGAUAGCCGGCCUGAGAGGGUGAUCGGCCACACUGGGACUGAGAUACGGCCCAGACUCCUACGGGAGGCAGCAGUAGGGAAUAUUGCGCAAUGGACGCAAGUCUGACGCAGCAACGCCGCGUGAGUGAUGAAGCAUCUUGGUGUGUAAAGCUCUGUCAGCGGGGAAGAAACGUCGGGGUAGUCACUGACCUCGGCCUGACGGUACCCGCAGAGGAAGUCACGGCUAACUCCGUGCCAGCAGCCGCGGUAAUACGGGGGUGACAAGCGUUGUUCGGAUUUAUUGGGCGUAAAGGGCGCGUAGGUGGGCCUUCAAGUCAAAUGUGAAACCCCCGGGCUUAACCCGGGGCCUGCAUGUGAUACUGUUGGUCUUGAGUACGGAAGAGGAGAAUAGAAUUCCAGGUGUAGCGGUGAAAUGCGUAGAUAUCUGGAAGAAUACCAGUAGCGAAGGCGGUUCUCUGGGCCGAUACUGACACUAAAGCGCGAAGGCUUGGGUAGCAAACAGGAUUAGAUACCCUGGUAGUCCAAGCGGUAAACGAUGAGCACUAGGUGUCGGGGGUAUCGACCCCCCCGGUGUCGCAGCUAACGCAUUAAGUGCUCCGCCUGGGGAGUACGAUCGCAAGAUUGAAACUCAAAGGAAUUGACGGGGGCCCGCACAAGCGGUGGAGUAUGUGGUUUAAUUCGA
rnacentral:rRNA from 1 species